rnacentral:lncRNA from 1 species
AAACUGACAGAACGCGACCCUCCCCUUCUCCAUCCCCAUCCUCCCCCACCCCGAGCCCGGGCUGCCGGUGGCCGGGCAGCGGAGCCUCGGCGCGGUCAGGUGGUCCGGCUUGGCCGUGGCCUCGCACCACGAGGGUCGGCUGCUGGGCACGCGGAGAGGUGGGCGCACGCGGCUCCGCGCCGGGUGCCAGUGCCAUUGUCUCGCGCACCGGCCGGCUGCACUCCCGGGUUCUCCUUGAAGCCAGAGCGUCUCGCAUCCUUUCUUUGUGAGGACUUUCCUUUCUUUCCUCCCUCCGAGCGAGCGCAGCCCGCAUCUCUCGGGAGCGGCGCUAGGGAGUUCACGGGCGAGCGCCCAUUGUCCCAGGGCCCGGCGACCCCGCAGCCGGGGAUCACGCGCGCGCGCGCGCCCGCCCUCCCGCGCGCUCCCCCACCCUCGGCCUCGGCCCCUACCCCUACCCCCCGGCCCGGGCACAGGUACCGCGGCGGGCAGGGUCCGCGCGGCCGCCUGCGCCCUCGGCCCCGCCCCGGCCCGCCCCCCGCGCCGCCGGCCCCGCCCCGCGCCGCCCCGCCCGCUGCAGGUUCAGUCCCCGCGUCCGGCGGCCGCGCGCUCAGUCUCGCUCGCACCUUCCGAGGCGGCCUAGGCGCCGGCUGGUGGGCAGGGCCCUGGCUGGGGGCUAGGGGCAGCCCAGAGAGACCUGGCUGUGGACCCGGAGCGCCCUCACGCCGGCUCCGAAAGGAUAACGUAGUGAGCAGGCGCCGCGCCUCCGGCUGGAUCUGCGCGCACGAGCGGGCGCGGCGGACGCCCGCGGGAGGCGUCGGUGCGGGGCGCCCGGCCCCGAGGCAGCGGCUGGGAUCCGCGGCGGUUGCUGGUUUCUCCUCGCUCCGGAGGGCGCUGGAUGAUGUAACCGGAGCGACUGGCAGACCCCACCGCAUUCCCCGAGGCUGCUGGAGUAAAAUGAUGUGACGCUUCCACCCACGAGGCUCUCUUCCGAAACACACAACAGCGGAGACGAAAGCAGGCCUCCCCCAUCCCACCGCGUGCUAAGC